UACGAAGGGGGCUAGCGUUGCUCGGAAUCACUGGGCGUAAAGCGCACGUAGGCGGAUUGCUAAGUCAGGGGUGAAAUCCUGGAGCUCAACUCCAGAACUGCCUUUGAUACUGGCGAGCUUGAGUUCGGGAGAGGUGAGUGGAACUGCGAGUGUAGAGGUGAAAUUCGUAGAUAUUCGCAAGAACACCAGUGGCGAAGGCGGCUCACUGGCCCGAUACUGACGCUGAGGUGCGAAAGCGUGGGGAGCAAACAGG
rnacentral:rRNA from 1 species